rnacentral:rRNA from 1 species
UUAAGCGACUAAGCGUACACGGUGGAUGCCCUGGCAGUCAGAGGCGAUGAAGGACGUGCUAAUCUGCGAUAAGCGUCGGUAAGGUGAUAUGAACCGUUAUAACCGGCGAUUUCCGAAUGGGGAAACCCAGUGUGUUUCGACACACUAUCAUUAACUGAAUCCAUAGGUUAAUGAGGCGAACCGGGGGAACUGAAACAUCUAAGUACCCCGAGGAAAAGAAAUCAACCGAGAUUCCCCCAGUAGCGGCGAGCGAACGGGGAGCAGCCCAGAGCCUGAAUCAGUGUGUGUGUUAGUGGAAGCGUCUGGAAAGGCGCGCGAUACAGGGUGACAGCCCCGUACACAAAAAUGCACAUGCUGUGAGCUCGAUGAGUAGGGCGGGACACGUGGUAUCCUGUCUGAAUAUGGGGGGACCAUCCUCCAAGGCUAAAUACUCCUGACUGACCGAUAGUGAACCAGUACCGUGAGGGAAAGGCGAAAAGAACCCCGGCGAGGGGAGUGAAAAAGAACCUGAAACCGUGUACGUACAAGCAGUGGGAGCCUCUUUUAUGGGGUGACUGCGUACCUUUUGUAUAAUGGGUCAGCGACUUAUAUUCUGUAGCAAGGUUAACCGAAUAGGGGAGCCGAAGGGAAACCGAGUCUUAACUGGGCGUUAAGUUGCAGGGUAUAGACCCGAAACCCGGUGAUCUAGCCAUGGGCAGGUUGAAGGUUGGGUAACACUAACUGGAGGACCGAACCGACUAAUGUUGAAAAAUUAGCGGAUGACUUGUGGCUGGGGGUGAAAGGCCAAUCAAACCGGGAGAUAGCUGGUUCUCCCCGAAAGCUAUUUAGGUAGCGCCUCGUGAAUUCAUCUCCGGGGGUAGAGCACUGUUUCGGCAAGGGGGUCAUCCCGACUUACCAACCCGAUGCAAACUGCGAAUACCGGAGAAUGUUAUCACGGGAGACACACGGCGGGUGCUAACGUCCGUCGUGAAGAGGGAAACAACCCAGACCGCCAGCUAAGGUCCCAAAGUCAUGGUUAAGUGGGAAACGAUGUGGGAAGGCCCAGACAGCCAGGAUGUUGGCUUAGAAGCAGCCAUCAUUUAAAGAAAGCGUAAUAGCUCACUGGUCGAGUCGGCCUGCGCGGAAGAUGUAACGGGGCUAAACCAUGCACCGAAGCUGCGGCAGCGACGCUUAUGCGUUGUUGGGUAGGGGAGCGUUCUGUAAGCCUGCGAAGGUGUACUGUGAGGUAUGCUGGAGGUAUCAGAAGUGCGAAUGCUGACAUAAGUAACGAUAAAGCGGGUGAAAAGCCCGCUCGCCGGAAGACCAAGGGUUCCUGUCCAACGUUAAUCGGGGCAGGGUGAGUCGACCCCUAAGGCGAGGCCGAAAGGCGUAGUCGAUGGGAAACAGGUUAAUAUUCCUGUACUUGGUGUUACUGCGAAGGGGGGACGGAGAAGGCUAUGUUGGCCGGGCGACGGUUGUCCCGGUUUAAGCGUGUAGGCUGGUUUUCCAGGCAAAUCCGGAAAAUCAAGGCUGAGGCGUGAUGACGAGGCACUACGGUGCUGAAGCAACAAAUGCCCUGCUUCCAGGAAAAGCCUCUAAGCAUCAGGUAACAUCAAAUCGUACCCCAAACCGACACAGGUGGUCAGGUAGAGAAUACCAAGGCGCUUGAGAGAACUCGGGUGAAGGAACUAGGCAAAAUGGUGCCGUAACUUCGGGAGAAGGCACGCUGAUAUGUAGGUGAAGUCCCUCGCGGAUGGAGCUGAAAUCAGUCGAAGAUACCAGCUGGCUGCAACUGUUUAUUAAAAACACAGCACUGUGCAAACACGAAAGUGGACGUAUACGGUGUGACGCCUGCCCGGUGCCGGAAGGUUAAUUGAUGGGGUUAGCGCAAGCGAAGCUCUUGAUCGAAGCCCCGGUAAACGGCGGCCGUAACUAUAACGGUCCUAAGGUAGCGAAAUUCCUUGUCGGGUAAGUUCCGACCUGCACGAAUGGCGUAAUGAUGGCCAGGCUGUCUCCACCCGAGACUCAGUGAAAUUGAACUCGCUGUGAAGAUGCAGUGUACCCGCGGCAAGACGGAAAGACCCCGUGAACCUUUACUAUAGCUUGACACUGAACAUUGAGCCUUGAUGUGUAGGAUAGGUGGGAGGCUUUGAAGUGUGGACGCCAGUCUGCAUGGAGCCGACCUUGAAAUACCACCCUUUAAUGUUUGAUGUUCUAACGUUGACCCGUAAUCCGGGUUGCGGACAGUGUCUGGUGGGUAGUUUGACUGGGGCGGUCUCCUCCUAAAGAGUAACGGAGGAGCACGAAGGUUGGCUAAUCCUGGUCGGACAUCAGGAGGUUAGUGCAAUGGCAUAAGCCAGCUUGACUGCGAGCGUGACGGCGCGAGCAGGUGCGAAAGCAGGUCAUAGUGAUCCGGUGGUUCUGAAUGGAAGGGCCAUCGCUCAACGGAUAAAAGGUACUCCGGGGAUAACAGGCUGAUACCGCCCAAGAGUUCAUAUCGACGGCGGUGUUUGGCACCUCGAUGUCGGCUCAUCACAUCCUGGGGCUGAAGUAGGUCCCAAGGGUAUGGCUGUUCGCCAUUUAAAGUGGUACGCGAGCUGGGUUUAGAACGUCGUGAGACAGUUCGGUCCCUAUCUGCCGUGGGCGCUGGAGAACUGAGGGGGGCUGCUCCUAGUACGAGAGGACCGGAGUGGACGCAUCACUGGUGUUCGGGUUGUCAUGCCAAUGGCACUGCCCGGUAGCUAAAUGCGGAAGAGAUAAGUGCUGAAAGCAUCUAAGCACGAAACUUGCCCCGAGAUGAGUUCUCCCUGACUCCUUGAGAGUCCUGAAGGAACGUUGAAGACGACGACGUUGAUAGGCCGGGUGUGUAAGCGCAGCGAUGCGUUGAGCUAACCGGUACUAAUGAACCGUGAGGCUUAACCUU